AGUCAGUGUUGGUAAACCGUGGAGAAAAUUUGAUUUUGAAUUGCACUUGCUUUAAUGCGUGUAAUGGCCAAUGGAGAGGUCCAAAUACGAUACUAGCACCAAAUGCUGGUGCUUUGAUACCAUACACACAGGGAAUGGAUUUGAAUCCAAGACUACAUAAAUCAAAAUAUAGGAUUUUUGGUGGAUACGAUACUCACAAUUGCAACUUGCAGAUUACAAACUUCUUGUCAGAUGACGAUGGUGUAUACAAGUGUGAGUAUGUGCACUCAUCAACAGUUUACACAGAUGUUUACAACGUAAGCGCAACACGUACCAGAAAUUUUGCAGAUAUGUCUACAAAAAAUCAUGUUGUAACGAGUACAGAACCAGAUAUUUGCACAUUUGAAACUAAAGACUUCAGUAGCAACUCAGGGAAAUGUUAUGAUUUUGUCUGUACGCUAAUAGGUAGUUUGAUUGGAGGAGGUCUUAUAUUCAGCAUAUGUUUCAAUAUUUAUUGCCUUCUGAAACGCAAGCGAAAUUCAGGAAUCGUUCCUGAAAUUCCACAUGAAGUUCAAUAUUAUGAAAUUGGAAGCAUUCACGAUAACAGUGCGAGUAUCCAAGGCGUACCAAACAAUGUGCAAGAAGCAGUAUCUAAUGUCGACAGACCAGCUUCGCAAAGAACCAACAGUACUAUAUCGUCCUUUGAAAAGCCGAGUUCCUCAGAGAGUUAUGUACAAAGUCUAUCAAAUACACUGCUGAAUGAAGGAGGAUAUGAAAAUCCUUAUCAGAUAAUUGAUCUUGAAAAUAUUGAAACACACCUAUAUAGAAUAUUAAGGUCAAAUAUGUAUCAAAAUACCAUAAUUUUUCCGAAAGAGAUAACAAAUACAAAUUCUAAACAAGAAAGAGAUCCUUGGCUAAUAAUAUACAAGAGCACAUCUGUAAAUGACUUGAAAUGAAAUGUGAUUUUAUAUUCAAAAUGCCCGGAAAGAAAUACAAUGUGAUUUUAUAUACCACUUGAAGAACAGAAUAACAAAGAAAGUAUAAGGUAUAGACUCGCUUAACGUGAGAAAUUAUUAAAACGGGAUUAAAAAUUCUUUCCUAGAUUUAUAUAUUUUACUUUCCUGAGACGGAGAAAACUUCAUUUUUAUACAUCUAUAUAUUUUAAACAUAAAGAUGUAG